rnacentral:rRNA from 1 species
CCUACGGGGGGCAGCAGUGGGGAAUAUUGGUCAAUGGCCGAGAGGCUGAACCAGCCAAGUCGCGUGAGUGAAGACGGCCCUACGGGUUGUAAACCUCUUUUGUCGGGGAGCAAAGCGAGUCACGUGUUACUCAUUGAGAGUACCCGAAGAAAAAGCAUCGGCUAACUCCGUGCCAGCAGCCGCGGUAAUACGGAGGCUGCGAGCGUUAUCCGGGUUUAGUGUGUUUAAGGGGUGCGCAGGGGGAGGGGAAAGUGAGCGGUCAAGUUGCGGGGUUAAACCCCGUACUGCCGUUGAAACUGCAUGCCUUGAGUGCGCGAGAGGUAUGCGGAAUGCGUGGUGUAGCGGUGAAAUGCAUAGAUAUCACGAAGAACUCCGAUUGCGAAGGCAGCAUACCGGCGCGCAACUGACGCUGAUGCACGAAAGCGUGGGUAUCGAACAGGAUUAGAUACCCGGGUAGUC